rnacentral:tRNA from 1 species
GCCUGGGUGGCUCAGUCGGUUAAGCAUCUGACUUCGGCUCAGGUCAUGAUCUCGCGGUCCGUGAGUUCGAGCCCCACGUCGGGCU